rnacentral:lncRNA from 1 species
CGUUGGAACGAGAUAUACAUUAUAAUGAAUUGAUCGUUGAGCAGUACACUUCAGUGUAAGAGCCAUACUAGCACAUAACCAGUAGGGAUUGCAAGAAGGUGAAGAUAAUUAAAAUGAGCUUGUGGUUGAAGAAUAAAGUGUAUUUUUUUAAGUUUAUGUAAUUUUAUUUAGUGUGUGUGUGUUUUUUUUUAAAGUUUAUUUGGUGAGGUUAUGUAAAUUUAAUUGGUGUUUUUUUAUUUUUAAGUUUAUUUGGUGAGUUUAUGUAAUCUUAUUUGAUGUGUUUAAAUAAGGUACAAAAAAUAAAUUUGAAAUUGCAUAAAGUUCUAAAAAUAAAUAAGAAAUUACAUAAAGUACUGAUAAUAAAUAAGAAAUUACACAAAGUACUAAUAAUAAAUAAGAAAUUACAUCUAUUAAUAAAAAUAAAUAAGAAAUUACAUAAAGUACUAAAAAUAAAGACGAAAUUACAUAAAAAUUACAUAAGAAAUUAAAUAAAGUACUACAAAUAAAUACGAAAUUGUACAAAGUCUCUGGAGCUAGGAUAUGUGGUGCUAGGAUCUUCGUUGCUAGAACCCCGUCAACUUGUUUCCGCAUCUCUUGCACGCCUCAUUCGCACCACGUCUCUUUUUUCCGAUGUCCAAAAACAUUUUGAAUUCGGAGACAGUCCUACUAGAGGCUUGUUCAUAGUGUCACGAUCUGCUUGAGCCAUCAUUUCUUCUCUAAGCAUCUCAUUUUCUCGAUUAAGUGCUUCUAUAAUCAUCUUGUUCUUUCGAUUAACUAUUUCUCUUUGUCUCUUAGCCACCGCAUCACGUCUCUCAAUAGCUACUAAUAUUGAUGCCAUAGCAGCAGCUUUUUCCU